AUCAACUUUCAAACUUUUGUCAAAUUACUAGAUGAAAUUCCACCGCAAAACAUAGCUCCCAUUAUGAUAUGCAGUUAACCACAGCAGAAUGGAAAUAAUGUAGACUCACUAGUGUUUACAGAAGUAGCCUAGAAGUUGUCACAGUCACAGUAACUAAGAUCGGUGACUAUUCAAUAAAGAGUAUCAGAUAUAAUUUAACUCAUAUAAUUUCAACUGUUUCUUUGAUAACUAAAGAAAAAUAUUAGAAGAGCCAAGAUGUGCUAAGCUGAACUAUACAACAAAGUCUGAAUCAAAUUGUAUGGAUUCCAAGUACAAAGGAAAAUAAUAACACUCAACCAUGCACCAAGCUUGGAUGGAGAGCUUGGUUAAGGGCAUGUGCAUUUUCGGGUGGUGUAUGAGUUCUGAUUGAUGGUUGUCCCACUGAAUAAAUAGACAUCUGUAGGGGUCUAAAGUAGUGAUAUUGUUGGCCCUGUUCCUUUUUCUUCUAGUGAUCAAGGGACUGGGCCUAUAUUUCCUAAUGAACCGAUCAGUAUCUCUGGGCCUUUUCAGGGUUUUAAGGUGGAUCCAUCCAUUAGAUGUAGUAGCAUCUCACCUAUUGUCUGCAGAUGAUAUUUUUCUAAUUUGGGAGGCUAGUGCUGGUAAUCUGCGGGUAACCAGUCAUUUCUAAUAUAGUUAGAGGUAGCUUCUAGUUUGAAGAUGAGCUUCUCUUAGAGUAUACUUUUGAGUGUAAACCUCGAUUCUUUCUUCCUUUCAAUGGUUGCAUGGUUUCUCAAUUGUAUGUUGUGGUUGAUGUCAUUCAUAUUCUUUAGACUUUUGGUUGGUGCUAGCCCAGGAAGGUGCAUGCCCGCAUGGAAACCAUAUUGCUGGAAGUUCUUCAAAAAUAACUUGGGAUUCUGACAAAACAUGUUUGUUUGAUAGAUUCGGUUAAUUCUCUGAAGUCUUUAUUGAAAGCAAAAGUUACUGACUUCAAUUUAUAAGAGUAUAUAUAUGGUAUCUUAUUUUGCAAGUUUUUUUCCU